AGUGAACGCUGGCGGCGUGCCUAAUACAUGCAAGUCGCAGGAAGUGUCGCACGGGUGAGAAAUAUAUAGCUAAUCUUCCCCUUUCUGGAGGACAACCGUUAGAAAUGACUGCUACUACUCCAUAGCAAGGGAUGAGACUAUAUCGUAUUAGCUGGCCUGUGGGGUAACGGCGUACCGAGGCUAUGACGCGUAACUGGUCUGCGAGGAUGAUCAGUCACAGUGGAAGUGAGAAACGGUCCAAAAGCAUACGGGAUGCAGGAGUAGGGACUAUGGCGCAAGGGGGGAAGCCCUGACGCGGCAACGCCGCGUGGAGGAUGAUACUUGUCGGAGCGUAAACUCCUUUUGUUAGGGAAGCGGUACCUAACGAAUAAGCACCGGCUAACUCCGUGCCAGCAGCCGCGGUAAUAC
rnacentral:rRNA from 1 species